UACGUAGGGUCCGAGCGUUGUCCGGAAUUACUGGGCGUAAAGAGCUCGUAGGUGGUUUGUCGCGUUGUUCGUGAAAACUCACAGCUUAACUGUGGGCGUGCGGGCGAUACGGGCAGACUUGAGUACUGCAGGGGAGACUGGAAUUCCUGGUGUAGCGGUGAAAUGCGCAGAUAUCAGGAGGAACACCGGCGGCGAAGGCGGGUCUCUGGGCCGUAACUGACACUGAGGAGCGAAAGCGUGGGGAGCGAACAGG
rnacentral:rRNA from 1 species